AAGACUCUUUCACACUCCUCCCUUAGUCAGUGGGGUCAGGAUUGGGUAGCUGGUGUGGAUAGAAAACCCUUGAUUACACCCAUGCCCUGAUACUGUACCAGUGGCCCAUUACUCAAGUGAACAGUG
ensembl:snoRNA